rnacentral:rRNA from 1 species
UACAGAGGGUGCGAGCGUUGUCCGGAAUCACUGGGCGUAAAGGGCGCGUAGGCGGCCUGAUAAGUCGGGGGUGAAAUCCUGUGGCUUAACCACAGGGCUGCCUCCGAGACUGUCGGGCUCGAGCACAGUAGAGGCAGGUGGAAUUCCCGGUGUAGCGGUGGAAUGCGUAGAGAUCGGGAAGAACAUCGGUGGCGAAGGCGGCCUGCUGGGCUGUUACUGACGCUAAGGGCGCGAAAGCGUGGGGAGCGAACGAGGA